rnacentral:lncRNA from 1 species
AUGGACAAAUGCCAACAAGUUGCUGUUGGUACAAUUGGUUCCACUGGAGCAAGAAGAAAUUCUGUCACUGACUUCAGUGUGAGCAUGAUUUGGUGUUCAGUUCUUAUAGUGUUGAUUCUGGAUUCCAAAGAUCACUGAUCCUCCAGGUAGCAUCCUAGAAGUGGAGUGAUGCUUGGACACAAUGCUAAUCUGUAUAACACACAAUACAGUGAUUAACUUCUGCCUCUAGGCAGACACUUAACUGUCUAUGUAAGUGGAUGAAAUUGUGCAAGGACAGCACUAGAUUUACAACAAAGGUGUAGAGUGAGCAUGAACAGAAUUCACAGGAGACGCUAAAGGAGAAAAACGGAGGAAAAUUCCACACAAAAACCAACAGCACAGUGGCCAGGAAUGUGAGAGCAGAACUGCUAGGACUGAAGGAUGGAAGUCAAGGAUGGUGAUCUUUGAGAGAAGCAACAGAGGUGGCAAAUGUGGCAGGAAAAUUUCGACAAAAAGCAGCAUUUUAGUACUUAGAUGAAAACCAUUCAGGCUAAAAAAUAGAUUAUUUUUUGGAGAAGACUGUAGCGAGGUGUAUACACUGUCAGCUAAAGCAAUAUUUAGAAGGCUUAGACAUAUUCUGUUGAAACAAUGAGCAUAAAAAUGCAUCUUUAGUAUUAGACUAAUGAUUUGUGUGUUUUCGACCAUCCAUGGCCCAGUGAACAUUCUCUGUCAUUCUAUACAGGAAGAUGGGAAAAGCCCAGACAUAGUGUUUAAAAUAUGUAUAGCCUGGACAGAAUACAGGUUUCUACUGUGAUUGUAAAAUGAAUGUUUGUUUAACACAAGGAUAAAAUAAUGACAGGUUAGAGAGUUCCUGUUAGAGAUAUAAUAGGAAAUGUAAAUUAGUAAGAAAAUGAAUAACACACUGUAUAAGUGAAUAAAUGGAUGAAAGAAGAGCUAGAACUGCA